UAGAGUUUGAUCCUGGCUCAGAUUGAACGCUGGCGGCAGGCCUAACACAUGCAAGUCGAGCGGUAGAGAGAAGCUUGCUUCUCUUGAGAGCGGCGGACGGGUGAGUAAUGCCUAGGAAUCUGCCUGGUAGUGGGGGAUAACGUCCGGAAACGGACGCUAAUACCGCAUACGUCCUACGGGAGAAAGCAGGGGACCUUCGGGCCUUGCGCUAUCAGAUGAGCCUAGGUCGGAUUAGCUAGUUGGUGGGGUAAUGGCUCACCAAGGCGACGAUCCGUAACUGGUCUGAGAGGAUGAUCAGUCACACUGGAACUGAGACACGGUCCAGACUCCUACGGGAGGCAGCAGUGGGGAAUAUUGGACAAUGGGCGAAAGCCUGAUCCAGCCAUGCCGCGUGUGUGAAGAAGGUCUUCGGAUUGUAAAGCACUUUAAGUUGGGAGGAAGGGCAGUAAAUUAAUACUUUGCUGUUCUGACGUUACCGACAGAAUAAGCACCGGCUAACUCUGUG
rnacentral:rRNA from 1 species